AUUGAACGCUGGCGGCAGGCCUAACACAUGCAAGUCGAACGGUAACAGGAAGCAGCUUGCUGCUUUGCUGACGAGUGGCGGACGGGUGAGUAAUGUCUGGGAAACUGCCUGAUGGAGGGGGAUAACUACUGGAAACGGUAGCUAAUACCGCAUAACGUCGCAAGACCAAAGAGGGGGACCUUCGGGCCUCUUGCCAUCGGAUGUGCCCAGAUGGGAUUAGCUAGUAGGUGGGGUAACGGCUCACCUAGGCGACGAUCCCUAGCUGGUCUGAGAGGAUGACCAGCCACACUGGAACUGAGACACGGUCCAGACUCCUACGGGAGGCAGCAGUGGGGAAUAUUGCACAAUGGGCGCAAGCCUGAUGCAGCCAUGCCGCGUGUAUGAAGAAGGCCUUCGGGUUGUAAAGUACUUUCAGCGGGAGGAAGGGAGUAAAGUUAAUACC
rnacentral:rRNA from 1 species